UGGGAAAUCCAUACUCAAGAAGAGUCACUCUGAUCUGCAAUGAUAGGACCUUACCAAUUUUCCUGAGACAUUUGCCUUUCAUUCCACAUGAAUUUUGCCCAGCCUUCAAUUUCUGACAUGUUUCAAGAUAGAAACAUUGCCGACCUCACAGCAGAGGCAGCAGAAUAGAUGGAGAAGGCACUCUAUUUUCAUUGACCCACCAUGAGACAUCCACUUUUGGAUUCUAGUUCCUUGACAUCACUUAAUUCAC
rnacentral:misc_RNA from 1 species